rnacentral:rRNA from 1 species
AUUGAACGCUGGCGGCAGGCCUAACACAUGCAAGUCGAGCGGAGCGGCAGACGGGUGAGUAAGGCCUAUGAAUCUGCCUGGGCGUGGGGGAUGGGGUCAGGAAACGGGAGCGAAUACCGCAUACUAUUGGAUGAGGCUAGGUCGGAUUAGGUAGUUGGUGGGGUAAAGGCCUACAAAGGCGAAGAUCCGUAACUGGUCUGAGAGGAUGAGCAGUCACACUGGAACUGGGACACGGUCCAGACUCCUACGGGAGGCAGCAGUGGGGAAUAUUGGACAAUGGGCGAAAGCCUGAUCCAGCCAUGCCGCGUGUAUGAAGAAGGUCUUCGGAUUGUAAAGCACUUUAAUUUGGGAGGCGUUACCCACAGAAUAAGCACCGGCUAACUUCGUGCCAGCAGCCGCGGUAAUAC